rnacentral:lncRNA from 1 species
GAUGUGCCCUCUGCAGGGGAGAGAGUGUCACAUGAGUUCUCUCAGCCAACCACACUUAUCCCAGCCCAAGUGCCAGUGUGGACAUUGACCAGCCUGCAGCCACGGCCUCGGAGGCACUUCCGCUGGUGAGAGGGGCACUCCGGGUGCCACAUCAGGGCCCCACCAGGUUAUAGCCCUGCUCAUGGACUUUGUCUGGUCUAACCCAGAGAGAAAAACAACCUUGCAGACCCCACCCUCAUCCAGGCUGCACCCGACCCAACUGUGUUCCCAGCAGAAGUUUGCACAUUGCGAUUUCUCCAUUACACUACAUCCAGAUGACUCUUCUGGUGCAGCCCAACCACUGGGGAUCAGACCGGAGAGCCCUAACUGUGAUUUCCAACAUGAUGUGCUAGGAAAUAGAUUGCGUAUGGCCACACAAUGGAAAACUACUCAGCUAUGCCAGAUGUAACCAUGUGUAACCACGUGCAUCAUGUUGAAUGAGAGAAGCCAGACACAACAGAGAAUACUAUAAGACACUCUUUACACGAAAUUUGAAAACAGGUAAAACUCACCAGUGUUCUUGGUGAUGGUCAGUAUGGUGGUCAUCCUGGGGUGGGUAAGAAGGGCUGGCUAAGAGGCUGGCCACACUCUGGUUUUAAUCAGGAUAUGUAGGCAGCUUCAUUAGCUGGAAAUUCAUCAAGCUGGGAUUUACAUGCUUUUCUGUAUGCAUGUUAUCUUCUAAAAAAAGGUUUGUUCUGGACAGAAACUUCCUCCUAGAUCCCAAGCUCACUCUGGAUUCAGUGCCAUUGAGGAAUUUGUAGUUUUAACCAAUUACCUGUCACCAAAAUGACCUAUUCCACUGUUCCCCAGGAUUUCAUUCUUACCCAGAUGCUGAGGACUUUCAGUUCUAUAUCUUUAUUUUUAAUAGUCUCUUCCCAUCUCACUCAACUCCCAAGCAUUUUGCAGCAGCUAUUGGCGUGAUUAAUGAGAAAGGCAGUGAUUUUUUUCCUUCCUGAAUUGUGUGGAGUCAAGGGGGAGGAAAUAGACA